rnacentral:rRNA from 1 species
GAUGAACGCUGGCGGCGUGCCUAAUACAUGCAAGUCGAGCGAACGGACGAGAAGCUUGCUUCUCUGAUGUUAGCGGCGGACGGGUGAGUAACACGUGGAUAACCUACCUAUAAGACUGGGAUAACUUCGGGAAACCGGAGCUAAUACCGGAUAAUAUUUUGAACCGCAUGGUUCAAAAGUGAAAGACGGUCUUGCUGUCACUUAUAGAUGGAUCCGCGCUGCAUUAGCUAGUUGGUAAGGUAACGGCUUACCAAGGCAACGAUGCAUAGCCGACCUGAGAGGGUGAUCGGCCACACUGGAACUGAGACACGGACCAGACUCCUACGGGAGGCAGCAGUAGGGAAUCUUCAGCAAUGAGCGAAAGCCUGACGGAGCAACGCCGCGUGAGUGAUGAAGGUCUUCGGAUCGUAAAACUCUGUUAUUAGGGAAGAACAUAUGUGUAAGUAACUGUGCACAUCUUGACGGUACCUAAUCAGAAAGCCACGGCGAACUACGU